rnacentral:lncRNA from 1 species
UCAUUUUGAAAGUCUUUUAUAUUGUGAAAUACACAUUUGCUAACUUGCAAAAAAAAUGUAAUCUGUAUAUGGUAUCUAAACUUUUCUAUUUUCUCUUCAUUAAUGGACGUUCAUGUCCUAAAAAAUCUGAUCUCAUGUCGUAAUGUGUAGACCUGUGAAAUGGAUUGCUUGGGCAAUGUAGCUGAAAUGCGUGAUAUAGUUUUUCAAUUGGAUUUCCUGGCCUGAAUGCUCCUAUUCCACCUGGUGCUAGCUUUGGUUAUCGUCCUAGAGGUUGGAGCAAGCCUCUUGUUGGUGAAGUAAGCUUCCUAUGAUUCUUGCAUUCAAGCUGUCGUAGUGUUUAUAAUAUUUUGUAUGGAUUCUUCUUCUGUGCGAUUGUUGGAUGUUCUCUUCAUUAAUGGAUGUUCAUGUCCUAAAAAAUCUGAUCUCAUGUUGUAAUGUGUAGACAUGUGAGCAAUGUAGCUGAAAUGCGUGAUAUAGUUUUUCAAUUGGAUUUCUUGGCCCGAAUGCUCCUAUUCCACUUGGUGCUAGCUUUGGUUAUCAUCCUAGAGGUUGGGGCAAGCCUC